rnacentral:lncRNA from 1 species
GCAGCGGGGAAGCAGAAGGCCACCACCGCCGCCGCCGGCCGACCUGGUGCGAGAAACCGGCAAGACCUCGGUGAUAUCGGCAACGUCCUGAACGCCCAUGUGGUCGACGGGAGCUUCGGCGCCCAGCUUCUAAAGAAAGCUCAGGAGAACGCCAUUGGGGCGAACAAGGUACAGAUUGUCGUGCAGAACCCGGUCAGGAAGGAACCAGCUCCGAAGCCGGCCAAGAAGGUCGUACCCCGUCUGGAGAAUGCCGCCAAGGCCAGCACCGGCGCCGGCGUCAACGAGAACAAGAAGCCUUCGGAGUCGGAGGGCGCCGGGCGCCGGCAGCAGCGGCGGCGGUUCAGCCCACAAGUACUCCAAGAAGAAGGUCGUGAACACGCUUACAUCUGUGCUUACUGCUCGUUCCAAGCACGCGUGUGGCAUUUCUAA